CUUCUAUUCUCCAUGUGCCACUUGGAAAGAUGAGCUUUCCUGAGGAUGCUUUGCGAGAGAAUGUUGGUGCAUUUAUGAACGCUCUUUUGCUGGCUAAGCCUGCCGGAUUGAAAAAGACUUCAAAAUAUGCUGGUUAUGUGAAUGCAUUCCACUUGUGCAGUACGAUGGGAAAGGGUUAUCCUGUAUCGAUACAGUCGUUGUCUAGAGCAGCGGAUCACUAUACCAAAUUGCAGCUCAAGUGAGCAGUAGCCUCAAAAAGGAUAAAGGCUUGUUGGAGAGUACCGAAUUGGAUUUUGUUGUUUGAGAGCAUAUAAAACGAGGGGAGUGUGCACAAUUCUGCUUGAUACAAUCUGUCUCUCAUGUCAUUUCAUAAUAAUAUGAGAAUGUUUUUGCUACUCAUCAAACAUCACUCAUUGAUUCAUUUGUUUUGUGUUCGUUAUAAAAUAUGAUAUGGAUCUUGCACAUGUUAAGGCCCCUGCAAGCAUCAUAAGAUUCUUC